rnacentral:rRNA from 1 species
UGGGGAAUCUUCGACAAUGGGGGAAACCCUGAUCUAGCCAUGCCGCGUGUGUGAUGAAGCCCUUAGGGGUGUAAAGCACUUUCAACGGUGAAGAUAAUGACGGUAGCCGUAGAAGAAACCCCGGCUAACUCCGUGCCAGCAGCCGCGGUAAUACGGAGGGGGUUAGCGUUGUUCGGAAUUACUGGGCGUAAAGCGCGCGUAGGCGGACUAUUAAGUCAGGGGUGAAAUCCCGGGGCUCAACCCCGGAACUGCCUUUGAUACUGGUAGUCUUGAGUUCGAGAGAGAUGAGUGGAAUUCCGAGUGUAGAGGUGAAAUUCGUAGAUAUUCGGAGGAACACCAGUGGCGAAGGCGGCUCACUGGCUCGAUACUGACGCUGAGGUGCGAAAGCGUGGGGAGCAAACAGGAUUAGAUACCCGUGUAGUCC